rnacentral:lncRNA from 1 species
AAGCUUAAGGAGACACAGGAUUUCGAACUAUACAAAUGUAGAAGAGCAGUGAAAACAGAAAACUGUCAAUCAAGGAUUAAACCACUGACUAGUUAUAGCUUCCAUACACACGAACAAGAACCUCAUCCUCUGAUCUAUUGCAAGGCUUAUUGCUUCUGCUCACAGCGUUCUUGUUAAACAACCUGUCAAAUAGAUUAGUCAAUAAACAGAAAAACUGUUUUAUACAGCUAAGUUGGUACCAAAUAUAACCUGAUGGUAUAAGUUGUCAUCCAAUGACUAAACCAUACAGACAUUGCAAUUCAAAAUACCUGGGCUGGCCACCAUUACCCACGGAGCCUGACCCCUAUUAAAUCCCCAGGCAUGACCUUCCCCCUCAAUUGAUCAGCAGCGGCUUUCUCCUCCUCUUCCUUGGCAACAUGAAUUUCAUAAUUAACUUUGUAGUUGCAUCAGAAAGAAUUACAUGCACAACUCACUGUCCACGUGUAAGAAAUUUAAAUAACAAAAUGAAACUUUUGGAUUUGCCAAUGUGCAGAACAAAGAUCUUGAGAAAAAGGAUUGAGAGAAUAAAUUCUUUCAGCAGGUUUAUGAGAAGGAGCAAUUCUUUCAGGAUAGCUCAAGGACCAAAUUCUUGGGCAUACGAUCAAAUAGAACUUAAUUAAGUAAUCCAUCUUCUUCUUUCAAUGAGGAAAACGAAACCUAUCCUAAUCACCCUAGUAUAGGAGUUGGUGGCUUCCAUAUGACUGUACAAAAUAAAGUUCAACUGGUAAUGGCCCAAGUACCCAACCAAUAGAGGAACUAGUGGCUCACCUUUUCAAUGAUGAUAGGCAACUGAUAACCUCCUUAGACACUAUAAUUGACUAUAAAAUGGCAGCUGACCUUUUAUGAACCCAUAGGAAAAUUAGAUGAGUCAAUUCCAAGACAUAGUUCUCACAGGCUGCUUCCUUUUAAAGCUCAUACCACAAGCCAAACCACAAAAAACUGAAGAACUAAAAGCCUCGGGCAUAUGCCCAAAAAUUUUGAAACAACUUAAGCUCAAAAGCACUUACUGCUCAAUGAACUCUGGAACCACUUGGGGUCCUGCAGGUGAUCAGAAUCUCCCUUCAUGGUUAUUGAGCUGUUUAUAUGGCUAUUGGGGGCAAUGUUAUUGAAAUGUGUGUAGCCCUCGUCGCACAGAGACACUUAAAUCUGCUGGGGUGGAGUCGGGCAGACACUGAAUCAAGGAUCAUGGUUGAGGGGGUUGAUUGGUGUCUUAGCAAAAUGUGGAACAUAUGCUCUUUUUCGUUUUUUCUUUUUUUUUUUCAAAUUGACCUGGGUGUCAUGUUGUAAAUAGAAUUUUGGGCUUUCAUUUGUGUUGCUGUGGAAGGUAGUUUUCCUCCUCUAACUCUGAAUUUUGGUGUGACAGAAAGUGUUUUAAGGCUUAUAUCCACCCAUGUUAUUUGACUUGUAAAAUAAAGUAGAGACUCCAUUGCUGCUUUAUUGUGGUAACUCUUUCUGGAUGAUCUUUGGAAGUUUCUGCUAAUCUGAUAGUUGAUAUUUCAAAAUAACUUUGAAGACAAGAAUUCUACAAUUGUUAGAAAUCCUGUAAAAGGUUAACAUAAUGGAUCCAACAUUGUUAAUAAUGCCUGAGUUCUUCAAUUUCAUGUCCAGUGGAGAAAGUUGAGGUCAAUCUCAGGAGAUUAAUAAUUGGCACUGGGUUUCAGAGAUUUGAAUAUGCUCUAGUUUGACAUUCUUGAAGUGGAUUAGCAGAGUGGGAUUCUCUCCUCAGCUGAUUGCCUUUUCACCGAGUUCCAAGGAUCAAUAGGAGAUUGUGAAUUUGUUGACAUUCUCAUUCUGAGAGCAACUGCAUCAAUAUCAUACAUGUUUGGAAGUUGGCAAUAUAAAAUUGGUAUUAGGCUCAUAUUUUCUACAACCUGCAAGCCACUAUCACUACCACCAAUUAUACGAAUAGGCAUCAAUUCUUCAGGACGAUGAAGAAGGAAGAGCAUAUCACAUGCUCAAAUGGAGGAAUGUGAUCCCAUGAUUCUUCAGGAAAUAAGUUUGAUAUCUAGAAACAGGGAAAAAGAACAAAGAAUCUUGAAAGACUUCUUUCAUUUUGUUCAUGCUGCCUAAAGGACAACUUGUGGGCCUUCGAAUUAUAUACUGGAACCAUCAAGUCAGCUGGAAUAGAUUCAUUUCUGAAGCUACAGCUGGUUUAUGGUCAACCAUAUCCCAAACCCAAAGUUCUUCAGUAGUCUACUGAGAAAAUCCCAUUUGGAACCUAAUUAUGAGAGUCCCAGGUUUGUUUAAGGCUGGGCUGAACCUAUGUGCAACCUUCUGUCUUCUGGGACCCUCUCUAACUAUAGUUUCAUCAACACAACUCAGUUAGCCUUGUCCCAGGUACUAAGACUGGGUGAAACUAUUCUCCAUUGUUGUUCCAUGCAUAUAUUGUUUGUGAAUGAUCUUCAUUAGGAUCAACUCUUAAGUAUGUUCCAAUCCAGAAUCAAAUCUUGAUAUAGUAUACAUUCACCUGACCAUUGGGAUGGGUGAAGAGGCAAUGCAGAUAUAUAUUCCCAUAGGAAUAUAACUUCAGUGCAGUAGUUGACACAUUGACUACCUUUCUGAGGUUAGGACAAGAUAAACUCAUUAGUGGAUGGAAUAGCAAACCAUAAACUAAUUUAUGUGGUUUGGAAUUUGAUGGUGUGAAAAGAAACAAAGAUAUGGAUAAAGAUCAUGAUAAUAAGCGUGAGAUUCGCGCAUCUUUGGAGUGUUUCGAGUUGCAGCUAGAAUACCUAUAUAAAGAGCAUGGAGGUUUGUAAUUUCCAGUAUCAGCAACAAAGAGCAGGUGUGAAUUGUAGAGAGUAAAUGGGGAAGUUCUCAACCUCCCUCAAAGGCUUCCAAUUUUCCUGACUGAUUAUCAAGAUUGGAAAGUUGGAAGUCGGUGGGGGAACUUGAAAGCUUACCCCAGAAUCAAUAUUACUCAUCUGGUUAUUUGGUAUCAGUUUCCCUGAUCAAUGGGAAGACGGUAAGAAUAUUGAUUUAAGGUGAGAUGUCCCCUUCUUCUCAAGAGACUCUGCUAACUUUUUAGAGAUUAAUGCUAAUGCCCAUGAUACUCUAAAUCAUUUCUUGGAGAACUGAUUUGGGAUAAGGUGAAAAACACUUAGUACCACACUACUACCAAUCUCAUUUCAUUGCUCCUUUCAUCCACACCCUCAAGGGUUUCAUCACUAGUUAUAGGGCACUUUUAUCCUGUCAAUUAAUGAUUAGGUUUAUGAAGCAUUUCAAACACACUGCCCUAGUCUGCAAUUAUUUAGAAGCAUACCUUCUAUUGAUGAUCCCACAAUUUCAUUGAACUCCUCUGAUGAAUGCAUUUACCUACAGAGGAGAAAACAUCUAAAUGAAUUGCCUUCACCAAUUGCCAUAACUGUCCAAACCAUCGAAACUUAUUUUCAGGGAUAAUUAAUGUUCAUAUUAAAGUACAAAAUAAAAUAUCUAUGAUAUGAUCCAUCAAGGGAUGAAAGUUUGGUAAAACCCUUUAUUCAUGAACAUGCUCCUCUACCAUCAAAUGUUUAAUGAGAACUUUUAAAAGGACCUCUAGUUUUUCUGAGACUGCUAACAGUAUCCAACAAAUUGAGAAAAAUCAAAAUCAACCAACCCCCAAAAUACACACUAUAUCACAACAUUCCCCUCACUAAGCAUGAAAACAGUUCAAUGUUACAUGUAUGAAUCUGGUACUUCUGAAGAAGAUGCUUAUAAUUACAUAAGCGAUUUGAUUGGAGGGACAUGGAAGAGGAUGAAUGAAUAUCAAGUAUUAGAGUCUCCCAUAAUGCAAACUUUUAUUGGAAUUGCAAUGAAUAAUCUUGCUAGGAUGGCCUAGUGCAUGUAUGAGGAUGCAGAUGGACAUGGAUUUCUUAUAGGUUUGGCUGCUAAGGGCCUUGCACUCAUGGAUGUGGGCAAGGAAAAAAUCAAAGAGAUCAAAGCGAUCUCUUUAUUUUCCCCUGCUCUUUUCAUUCUUUUAGCUAUUUAAAAGGGGUCUAACCUGAUCCCUUUGAUACAUCACUUUUAAGAGUUCUUGUCUUCACUAUAACUGAAGAAUGCUCUUAUUUUUGGUUUCACAAAUGGACUUCUAUAUACUGUCUACCUGCUUUACAACCUUCCUGUCUUCAAUAAUGAUAAAAUUAGUUAAGCAAACGUGGAAUCAAGGGAUCCCAAGAAUCAACCAUGGAAGAAGCUAGUACAUCACACCUUACUUACUUAUUUCAACUAUGCUUAUCCUGUCAGAAAUCAAAAUCCUCCUUGGUGAGGAAGGAAUCUAUGGAUGGUUGUUGCCAUGACUAUUGUUGGACCAGAAGCCUUGCCUCCGUCUCUGCUCUUAUCAUGGCCUUAACGUUUGCAGAAACACUCGAGGGUACCACAUCCAUGCGUUCUCUUUUGAGGCUGAGAAAUUCUCAUCUUUCCUCAGCAAAGCUCAACAGAUUCUCUUCCCCAGGAGAUACUCAUUCUGUGAAGAAAAAAAGCAGUAAUGGUUAACUAACUCAUAAAUCGUCAAUUUGAAAAUUAGAGGACAGAUGCAGCAGAUUUAUGUUUCAGAUUUAUAAAUUGAGUACUGCAAAUGUCAUAUGCUUGCCUCUGGGCCUAGGAUCGUUCCUAACCAUUAUGUGUAAGGUGUUUUAUGUUGUCUAACUGAAGUGCUAAGCCAAUGUUUAGCCCCAUAUGCGUACAUACUGAUGCCACAAAGAACUGGAAAAUCUCUGGAACUAAACCAUUAUCCGCUUCUGAACUCAAUCCAUAUAAUCUAAUCCAAACAACAAUUACAACAUGUGCUAAUUGUCAUGAACUAAAAAGCACAUAUAGUUAAGAGUUCAUGUUUGAUUUAGGUUGCAUAGCCAUUCACCUUGCAGAGUCCAUCUUGAAAUUGUUCGAUCAUGCAGCCUGAUGACCUUCUCUGAUAUCAAUUACUCCCCAUAUCUCAUUGGUCAACUGCUUACUGUAUCUUGCUAAAUAGCAUUCUCAAGUUGGAACCAGUAAUGAAGGGGAGAUAUUCUGCAGCCAUCAUGAAAGUCAUUAAAUUGAGGAAUUUUUAGAAAAGAAUUACAAUUAUGGUUGUUGCAAUUGAACAGACAAAGCAAUCAAAACUCAAUGCAUGACUGGGAAAUGGUUUAAUUAUGAACAGAAAAAGGAACACUUCCAAAGUACCAUUCUGUCUCUCUUCCUCUUCCCUCUCUUUGUCAAAGGUGACUGAGAAACGUUUUCUCUUUCUUAAGUUUGAUGUCAAUCCAUAAAUGAAUAUUAAACAAGUGACACUUGGCUUAUAUCUCUGGCUGUUCCUAUUGGAAAGGAGAACUGUUGCCUUCAUAAUAAGCUAAAGUUUUGUCCUAGAAUAAUUGAUAAUUCUUGGAGGUUAUCGGGGUAGGAAAUCUAAAGAAAAUGGAAAUGAGAAACAAAAAUAUUCAACAUAUUUACCUACCCAGUAGUAAUGUCUGAUCAACAUGAUAUAUUGCUAAUGAUAAUUGACAAAUUAAAGACUUCUGGUUAUGUUGGCUAGAUGUAGGAAACGUUAAUUUUGGUGCUUCCCAUUGCCUAGGAAGAUAAAAAUAUAUUAGAGGAAUGAUAUGUAUUGAGGAAAUCAACAUGGGUUUAGGUAGACAAUGGUAUAAGAAAACCAUAAACAUGAUGCAACUAAGUAAGCUGAUAUGGCCAAGUAUGCUGAUGAUAGAUAUGUUGUGGUAAUUAUAAAACUACAUUCUGAUCAUGUCUUGAUGCAAGGUCUAACAUGUAAAAGUACAUUUUGGGGACCUCAUAAGGAACAAGUAAAUCAAAUAUUAGAGAAAGAACUAGCUUCAAUCACCUUGAGGAGGAAUCAUGGAAACAUUCAUUUAAUGACCUUAUGCAAUGAGCAAAUGGUGGGCAAAACCAAAUACUAAUGGGAAUAUAGAAGCCUCUAAAUUAAUUAAGAGCGUGUUUGAUGGUAUUUCUUUUCAAAGUAUUUUUAGUGAAAUCAUUUUCUCUAAAAGUGUUUUUGGAAGAAUCAUCUAUCAAAUGUUUCUCCAGGAAGCACUCAAAUGAUUUUUUUUUUAAACUUUAAAAUUUUUUUCUAAAUUUUGCUAAAUGCCUAAUUUUUCUUCAAAAAUACUUUUUAAGCUAAAAAAGAUUUUUAAAACACUCCCAAACAAACUCUAACUCUUGGAAGCAAAGAUCCAUUUCAUCAUAUCUCCCAUUAAAAAAUGUUAAAGUCAAUAAUUAAUAACUUACCUCUUGUUGACUAGGAUUAAGACAUAACUAAAGAAUGAAAACAAAGUUUGAAUCUAUAGUGUUGGGUUUUUUGUCUAGUUGGUAAUUUUGUUCAAAUUCUUUCUAAUUAAAUGAGACUUACUUCAUUUGGUCUUAUUAGUUUCAAGAUGACUUUGAUCUUUAUCAAACUUGAUUUCAAACCACUUCAAUCAUCAAAUUCAAGGUAAGUAUGUAUUUAUGAAUUCGUAAAGUUUUUGGAAUGACAAUUACAUCAUUAAAAUUGAAAAUAACUCAAAAACCCAAAAAUGGAAUAUUGAGAAGAAGGGGCAAGGGCGUUCAAAACACUCCGAGGAUAGUUUAAAUGCCUUGAGGACAUCUAAAAUGCCUUGAGAAUGUCCAAAUUCCCUUCAAACACCCUAAGAGAGUUCAAACACCUUUCAAACAACCAAGGACCAUUCAAAUGUCCUAGGGGCGUUCAAAUCCAUGUCAAGUGUUCAAAAGGUCAAUGAUAUUUUUAAGUUUUCAAAUUAUGUUUUAAUUCAAAAGAUUGUGUUUUUGAGAUGUUUUAAAAGGUUUGAAGCUUUCCUAAUUGGUUACAAAGCUUUUUUUAAAUGUUUACAAUUGGGAAACUCUUCAUAAUGGGAGUCUAGGGUUUUUUCAAAUAUAAAAGGAUUUGUUUUGUUGAAAAUUUGGUGGAUGUCAAGAGAACCCUAAGUGAGAGAGAAAAGCCUUUAGAGAACAAUUGUCAUCUCCAAAGCUUGAUCUUCCAACUCUCAAACUUUCAAGAUCUUUCUCGAGAGUAACUUUCAACUUUAACAAAUGUGACAAACCCCAUCACAAAACUUUGACAAGGGCUUGAAAGGAUCUACUAAAGAACAUGAGGGAGUACCACAUCGAGGAUGUGGAAAAUGAAUGUAGGUGUUAACAAUAUAAAACCUUAAGAAGUAGGUGCACCCAGUUAAGUAAAAUUGUGUACCCUUUUCUUAUAAUUAAGGGAUUAUUUAGUGAUUGAGAGACCACUUGUAGUUUUUUACUUAGGUGGUUUUUCCAUGAUAUACCUUGCAUAUUGUAUCAAAUCAAUUUUAUUUAUUUGUGCAUGUGAUUUUAGCUUUAACUAAAAGAUUAAUCUAAAGGGACAAAUUAACCAAAAGUAGGUAAUGAAAAUUUUAAUUUAGGGAUUAAUUCAUGGACUACCUAUUGACCCCAUCCAGGUAGUUUCAUUAUAUCAAGAGGAGACGUAAAAUUUCUUUUAAGUUCUAUCAUAGUAGGUAAAAAUUAUUUUCAAAAUUUCUAUUGAUUCCUACUAGUCUUAAUAAAUGAAACCACGGAGAGUUGGGACUUGCAUAAAUUGCCCUAAUUACUACUCAAAAAGUGCUCUUUUAUAGCUUGAAAUUAGUUGUUUUAAAUACUUUUGAGUAGUAGUUAAUAUAUUUUAACUCAAUUGGCACAUUAAAGACCCUUACAAGUGUUACUAAUCAGUUUUUGGCAAGUUUUGGUGUUUUUGGUAGCUUUUUUAUCAUUAAAACAAGCCAAGAAUGAGGGAGAACUUUGUGUAGUCCAUGGCAAAGCAAGUUGAAGCUCAAUUACAUGAAGAAUCCAAGCUUUGGAGCUUCAUAGACCUUUGCCAAGCCAAUCAAGUAUGCAAGGAAGAGAAUCAGAGAAGAAAUCUAGCAACCAGCAAUUUCGCAUGGCUAUGCGAAAUUUUCCCAUAGCAUGCAAAAUCAAGAGGAGCUUCAAUAGCUGCAAGAUAGAGAGCAGGAAUGAGUGAAAGAAAUUUCGCACCCUGUGCAAAAUUUCACACUCCAUGUGAAACCAAGAUGCAGCCAUGAAGAAAUUUCGCAUGGCUAUGCGAAAUUUUCCCAUAGCAUGCAAAAUCAAGAGGAGCUUCAAUAGCUGCAAGAUAGAGAGCAGGAAUGAGUGAAAGAAAUUUCGCACCCUGUGCAAAAUUUCACACUCCAUGUGAAACCAAGAUGCAGCCAUGAAGAAAUUUCACACACGAUGUGAAACCAAGAUGCAGCCAUGAAGGAAUUUCGCACACCAUGCGAAACCUUCCUAUGUAAUCUCCAAAUAUUUGUGCACCGACUCCGUUAGAUAUUUAUCUUCAGAUAUUUUGUGUAAUUUCCUAGUUUCUCCUUGUAAUCAACCUAGAUAUUUUCUUAUAUAUCUUUUUAUAUAUCUUUUAGGUAGCGGAUAUAUAAGGAGAGGUAUGUGUGAUAUUAGGGGGAUGUAUGUUUUUUUUUAUUAAACACUUGUAAAAUUUCCCGUAGUAAGAAAUAUACAGAGCUUUUGCUCUGCCUUUCCUUCUCAUGUUGUUUUCACUUUUCUUUCUAGCCAAACAACCUUUGAGGAUGAUUUCUCAAGGGAUGAGUGGCUAAGUUUUACGUUUCUUGGAGUGAUGGAAGUUAGGUGAAGGACCUGAAUGCAAAGGUGGGAGUUGGCUUUGCUUUAAUUGACAGUAGUUGUUAACCAUCAAUGGUUUUUAUUUCAAGGUUUAGCUUUAAAUCCUUUAAAAAUCACCUUGAAUAGCCAAUACUUGGUAAGCUUUUCGGAUUCCAUGGAUGCUUAUUGCUAGAUCCAUGGAUGUCUAUUAGUUAUCAUUUAUGAGCCAUUGGAAGGUGGUUCAAGGUGAAAGUCUUUAGUGUUUGAAGCCAUUAAUGGGAAGCAAUUACCAUUUCUCACCAAAACCUUUGGAUCAAAUCUUAAUUGCUAAAUAUAAAACCGAUUCGAGAGAUAACCAUCCUUUAUGUUAUUAUCCCCAACGCAAUGAGAAGAUCCGGAAUCUCCCCAUUUGCCUAAGGAACCUGAACCUAGUGACCUAAAACUCCAAGAAACCCUUUUCUUUGUAAUUAAUUCCAGUUACUAUUUUUGGUUAGCUUAAAAUCAACCUUUUCCACCCACAAUUACAUUUUCUUUUAAAGCUAACUUUUAAAAAGGAAAAGCACCAUUUCAGUACCUUAACUAAUAUCAAUUGUACCAUGAAAACCCAUCCAUGUAGACGAUCCUAGAGCCACUAUACUAUGCUAGCUAUGCUACCCUAGUGUAUGGUGAAAUAGGUUUAUAAAUUUUGUUGAUAACACUCGUCUAAGCCAGAAUCAAAUGGAAUGACUGCAAUGGGGACGAAUCAUGCCCACCAUUCUUUAAAGGGAGUAACUACCCUUCUUGGAAAUUCUAGAUGGAAUUGUUUCUUAAAAUUAAGGUGAAAGAGUUUGGAAUACAACAGAAUGUGGGUGGUUACCCCCACUCUUAAUUCACAAGAAUAGUAAUCCAACUAGUGAAUUAAAACUGAAGCAAGAGUGACAUAAAUUGGACAAUGAAAAGAGUAAGGCAAAUGUCAAAGCCCUUUGUUGUAUUUUGAAUAGAGUUAGUCUUGAUGAGUUUUGCAAGAUUGCUAAAUGAGGAGGCUUGGGAUAUCCUGGCAACAACACAUGUGAGCAUCUACUAUGAAGUUAUCAAAAUUGUAAAUGUUAAUUACAAAGUUUGAAAACAUAAAGAUGAAUGAUGAUAAGACCUUCUCUAACUUUUAUAUUGAACUUAGUAAUAUUUUUAAUUCAUGUUUCCAUCUAGGAGAAGGAAUCCCUUACUCUAAAGUGGUUAGAGAAAUACUAAGAUCUCUCCUUGAAACAUUAGAACAUAAAGUAACUACAAUAAAGGAAAGUAAAAAAAAAAUGUGGACUUAUUAAGAGUAGAUAAGCUUGUAUGUUCUUUACAAACUUAUGGGGUGGCUUUAUCAUCCCCUAAAAGACCUAAAGGGGUAUCCUUAAAGGCUUCCCUAAGAGAAAAAAAUUGAGUUUGAAGAUUGGAGUGAUUACUUUUCACUAAUCUAAAAUUUCCAUCUUUGCCAAAAAAUUCAAAACUUUUAUGAAAAUGCAAAAUGAAACAAGCAUAAAAGAUGACUCGAAAGAAAGAAAAGAAAUCCUACUCCAAGAAAAAUAAAGAAAAAAGUCUAUCAAAGUCAUCUCAAGUUGAAUAUUUCAAUUGUUGAGGGAAAUGACACUCUACAUUAAAUUAGCUUACUUCUAAAAAGAAUAAGAAAGUUAUGCAACUAAGUGACUUUGAAUGAUUCCGAGUCUAAUGAUAAUGAAUCCACAAGUUCAAUUGAGAAUGGAGAUAUGAAUCAUCUAGUUGCUUUCAUUGCCUUAUCACUCCAAUUCCUUAAGAUUGAAUAAAAAAAUCUAGUAAAAUCUAGUGAUAAGAAAGUAUGAGAAUUUGAAGACCUUCAAGAAGCAUAUAAUGAUUUGUACCAUGAAAGCUAUAAGAUAAAACGUGAGAAUGUAAAAAUUGAAGAAAAAGAAUUCUCACAUUAUAUUUUUAGAAUCUGAGAAUUGUGAUCUAAAUGAAAAUUCAAUUUUUUUUUCUUUUAAUUCUUAGAAAAAUGACAUGGAUUGUAGGAUCAAGGAGUAGUUGAAAAAGAAAAUAUAAUGGAAAAAACUUAAGUUUUUUUAAUCUAAACACCAUAAUGUCAUGAUUAAAAAUAAUUCCCUUCCUUUUGAGUUUCAUCAACUUAGAAAGAACUUUGAGAAUCAAAAUGAAGUGUUUCAUCAUAAUUCUAAAAUCUUAAAUGAAAUGAUUGAGAAAGGGAAAGCCAUGGAGAUAAAAGAUAUUUAGAUUACUUAGGUAAAUUUGAAAAUCUCACUAAUGGAUAGAUUAUUUUUUUGAAACCUAAAGAAAGCUUCUCUCUUAAAGAAUCAUCCUCAAAGCAUGCAAGCCACUAAGUGCACUACUUCGAACAAAUCUAGCCAUGUGGCUAACUAGUGCUUUAGUAGAUUCUUUGAAAAAUAUCAGUCUCAUCUUAAUAGGCUAGUGAAUGAAUCAAAUAUCUUAAAAACAAAACUUUGGAUAUUGAGAAAGGUAGUAGGUCAUCUCACACUUGGUGUAAGAAAUGAAAGAAAUUAACACUUUCUAAAACUAGGUAAAUUCGGGUUAGGAAAGAAGACCUAGUUGCACUUCAAGAUGCAAGUCUAAUGAGUUCUAAGUCUUCUCUUUUAUAUUCUCUUAGGAGUUCAUCAUCUAGGAAAUUUUUAGGAGCUUGCUUCUCUAAUUAGCAUAUUUUGUCCCAUAGCCUAGCAUCUAUUCUUAGUAUUUUAUUCAUUAUCCCUGGCAAUUAUGUCUCUUUUUCUCUAGAAGCUAUAUUGUCUUUUUAGAAGUCCUUGACUUUUUUUCUUUUUUUUUUUUGUCUUUUUAAUUAGGACUUCUUUGUUAGCUAGUCUUAAUGAUCUAGGUUUAGGAUUUAGGGGGAGCUUAUCCUUUCCUCAGUUUAGGAUCUCAUAUGCAAGGAGAGUUAGUUACUUUUUAGAGGUCUCUGACUAGAGGUCGUGAUAAAAAUGUAUCAGCAUUUGGCUUCAACAACGGAAAUUACUUUUUCCAGAGUUAGCAGCUACACAAGCUCUUGCUGGAAACAAAGAUUCUGGAUUUGACCCCCUUCUUCAUUUUCCCUCUCUCUCUUGUAAGUUUGACAUCAUUCAGUGAAUGGUAUAAAGUAACUGAACUCUCGAUUCUAUUUCUGGUUUUCCUAUUCCAGACCAGAGUUGUUGCCUUUAUGCUUAUAAGCUAAAGUUUUACCCUACAAUAAUUGACAAUUCACUUUUCUUGAAGCAAGUUAUCAGGGCAACCAUAUGAAGGAUAUGCAAGGCGUUAGCAUGCAUUAUGGCUAGAAUAAGAAAUUAGGAGACUAGUUAAGUCGGAUGCAGUUCUGGUAAAGGUGUUGAUUGGGAUGGUUCAAUUUUUCUAAGUCAAAGAACAAUCAGCUACAUUACUUUUAAGACUUCUUGUCUUCGCUCUAACUGAAGAAUGCUUUUAUUUUGGUUUCAUGAAAUGGACUUCUACGUACCGUAUAACUGCUUUAGUAUCUUCUUGACGUCAAUAAUGUAAAAAUUAAGGAAAUGUGGAUCAAGGAUCCCGUGAAUGAUCGACAACCAUGGAAGAAGGUAGCAGUACAUCACAACAUACAUACCUUAUUUCGUCUAUUCUCAUCCGGAAGGAAAUCAAAAUCAUCCUUGCCAUGGAUGGUUGUUGCCAUGACUACUGCUGGACCAGAAGACUUUCCUCCCGUCUUCUUUGCCCACCAUCAUGGCCUUAAUGUUGGCAGAACCAUCUACUGGCACUACAUCCAUGUGCUCUCAUUUGAGGCACUGAGAUUUCUCCGAGAAUUUCUUAUCAUGCCCUCAGCAAUGCUCAACGGAUUCUCUUCCCCAGGAGAUACUUAUU